AACGAACGCUGGCGGCAUGCCUAACACAUGCGAGUCGAACGAGACCUUCGGGUCUAGUGGCGCACGGGUGCGUAACGCGUGGGAACCUGCCCUUAGGUUCGGAAUAACUCCCCGAAAGGGGUGCUAAUACCGGAUAAUGUCUUCGGACCAAAGAUUUAUCGCCUUUGGAUGGGCCCGCGUUGGAUUAGCUAGUUGGUAGGGUAAAAGCCUACCAAGGCGACGAUCCAUAGCUGGUCUGAGAGGAUGAUCAGCCACACUGGGACUGAGACACGGCCCAGACUCCUACGGGAGGCAGCAGUGGGGAAUAUUGGACAAUGGGCGAAAGCCUGAUCCAGCAAUGCCGCGUGAGUGAUGAAGGCCUUAGGGUUGUAAAACUCUUUUACCCGGGAUGAUAAUGACAGUACCGGGAGAAUAAGCUCCGGCUAACUCCGUG
rnacentral:rRNA from 1 species